rnacentral:rRNA from 1 species
CGGGAGGCAGCAGUGGGGAAUAUUGCACAAUGGGCGCAAGCCUGAUGCAGCCAUGCCGCGUGUAUGAAGAAGGCCUUCGGGUUGUAAAGUACUUUCAGCGGGGAGGAAGGCGUUGUGGUUAAUAACCACAGCAAUUGACGUUACCCGCAGAAGAAGCACCGGCUAACUCCGUGCCAGCAGCCGCGGUAAUACGGAGGGUGCAAGCGUUAAUCGGAAUUACUGGGCGUAAAGCGCACGCAGGCGGUCUGUUAAGUC